UUAACACAUGCAAGUCGAACGCUGAAGCCUGGUGCUUGCACCGGGUGGAUGAGUGGCGAACGGGUGAGUAAUACGUGAGUGACCUGCCUUUGACUCUGGGAUAAGCCUGGGAAACUGGGUCUAAUACCGGAUGCGACUACUGCCCGCAUGGGCUGGUGGUGGAAAGGGUUAUGUACUGGUCUUAGAUGGGCUCACGGCCUAUCAGCUGGUUGGUGGGGUAAUGGCCUACCAAGGCGACGACGGGUAGCCGGCCUGAGAGGGUGACCGGCCACACUGGGACUGAGACACGGCCCAGACUCCUACGGGAGGCAGCAGUGGGGAAUAUUGCACAAUGGGCGCAAGCCUGAUGCAGCGACGCCGCGUGAGGGAUGACGGCCUUCGGGUUGUAAACCUCUUUCAGCAGGGAAGAAGCGGAAGUGACGGUACCUGCAGAAGAAGCGCCGGCUAACUACGUGCCAGCAGCCGCGGUAAUACGUAGGGCGCAAGCGUUGUCCGGAAUUAUUGGGCGUAAAGAGCUCGUAGGCGGCUUGUCGCGUCUGCUGUGAAAGCCCGGGGCUUAACUCCGGGUGUGCAGUGGGUACGGGCAGGCUAGAGUGCAGUAGGGGUAACUGGAAUUCCUGGUGUAGCGGUGAAAUGCGCAGAUAUCAGGAGGAACACCGAUGGCGAAGGCAGGUUACUGGGCUGUUACUGACGCUGAGGAGCGAAAGCAUGGGGAGCGAACAGGAUUAGAUACCCUGGUAGUCCAUGCCGUAAACGUUGGGCACUAGGUG
rnacentral:rRNA from 1 species